GAUGAACGCUGGCGGCGUGCCUAAUACAUGCAAGUCGAGCGAAUGGAUUAAGAGCUUGCUCUUAUGAAGUUAGCGGCGGACGGGUGAGUAACACGUGGGUAACCUGCCCAUAAGACUGGGAUAACUCCGGGAAACCGGGGCUAAUACCGGAUAACAUUUUGAACCGCAUGGUUCGAAAUUGAAAGGCGGCUUCGGCUGUCACUUAUGGAUGGACCCGCGUCGCAUUAGCUAGUUGGUGAGGUAACGGCUCACCAAGGCAACGAUGCGUAGCCGACCAGAGAGGGUGAUCGGCCACACUGGGACUGAGACACGGCCCAGACUCCUACGGGAGGCAGCAGUAGGGAAUCUUCCGCAAUGGACGAAAGUCUGACGGAGCAACGCCGCGUGAGUGAUGAAGGCUUUCGGGUCGUAAAACUCUGUUGUUAGGGAAGAACAAGUGCUAGUUGAAUAAGUUGACACCUUGACGGUACCUAACCAGAAAGCCACGGCUAACUACGUGCCAGCCGCCGCAGUAA
rnacentral:rRNA from 1 species